rnacentral:rRNA from 1 species
GACGAACGCUGGCGGCGUGCUUAACACAUGCAAGUCGAACGGCGUGGCGCACGGGUGAGUAACACGUGGGUGACCUGCCCUGCACUUCGGGAUAAGCCUGGGGAACUGGGUCUACUCCCGGCUAGUUUGGGAUGGGCCCGCGGCCUAUCAGCUUGUGGGUGGGGUCAUGGCCUACCAAGGCGGCGACGGGUAGCCGGCCUGCGAGGGUGGACGGCCACCUUGGGACUGAGAUACGGCGCAGAGGCGAACGUGAGGCAGCAGUGGGGAAUAGUGCACAAGGGGGGGAAGCCUGAUGCAGCGGCGCCGGGGGGGGGAUGACGUCCUUGGGGUUGUAAAGUGCUUUCACCAUCGACGCGGGAGAAGGAGAAGAAGCACCGGCUAACUACGGGCCAGCAGCCGCGGUAAUAC